rnacentral:lncRNA from 1 species
ACUUCAGAAGAGUAUAAACUCAGAAUGUAAAUCUAUCUAUUUAGAUCUCAAGGACCAAAGAAGCUACAUCACAUCAGAAUUAUGACUGUGGUGCUCAAGGAGAGAUUGAAAGAUGUUUUCAAGGAAAGGACGUUAAAAGCCUGCUUUGCCCUUUUGUAUGUGUGGCUAAUCCUGGAGUCCGAGAAGGGAAAAAGAAAAAAGCCUGAAAAAGACCUGUUUCAUAUUUUAUUCCAUGCACUCUGUUCCUCUAGGAUCUUAGGUAUCUUCAUGUUAGAAGCUCAGAGACUCAGCAACAAUCUUCAGGAACCUUGGUUUUCACAUGUGACCAUGAAAGCAAGUCAAUGAUAGUAAUUUAGGAGAUUGGGAAAAAAUAAUGUGUUGGUGAAUGAUUACUUCGAAAGGUGAGAAUAUAUAUCUUCCUUCUAACUUUUCUAACUUUAUCACGGCUUCUGUUUAUAUGGGUUCAUUUGAAGAAACACAAUUAAAUUA